GAUGAACGCUGGCGGCGUGCCUAAUACAUGCAAGUCGAGCGAACAGACGAGGAGCUUGCUCCUCUGACGUUAGCGGCGGACGGGUGAGUAACACGUGGAUAACCUACCUAUAAGACUGGGAUAACUUCGGGAAACCGGAGCUAAUACCGGAUAAUCUAUUGAACCGCAUGGUUCAAUAGUGAAAGACGGUUUUGCUGUCACUACUAGAUGGAUCCGCGCCGCAUUAGCUAGUUGGUAAGGUAAAGGCUUACCAAGGCAACGAGGCGUAGCCGACGGCAGAGGGGGAUAGGCCACACUGGAAGUGAGACGCGUACCAGGCGCCUACGGGAGGCAGCAGUAGGGAAUCGGCCGCAGUGGGCGGAAGCCUUGCGGAGCGACGCCACGUGUGAGAUGAAGGCCUUCGGAUCGUAAAGAUCUGUUAUUAGGGAAGAACAGAUGUGGAAGUAGCUGUGGACGGCGUGACGGUACCUAAUCAGAAAGCCACGGCUAACUACGUG
rnacentral:rRNA from 1 species